rnacentral:rRNA from 1 species
GGUUGAUCCUGCCAGAGAUUACUGCUAUCGGAUAUCGAUUAAGCCAUGCGAGUCGAGAGCCUUAGGGGCUCGGCGAAAUGCUCAGUAACACGUGGACAACUUACCCUGAGGACAGAGAUAACUCCGAGAAAUCGGAAAUAAUACCUGAUAGAUCAUUAUGGUUGGAAUACCUUUUGAUCCAAAGGCAAUUCAUUUAUUUGAAUUGUCCCGCCUCAGGAUAGGUCUGCGGCCGAUUAGGUAGUUGUUGGUGUAAUGAACCAACAAGCCAAUUAUCGGUACGGGUUGUGAGAGCAAGAGCCCGGAGAUGGUUUCUGAGACAAGAAUCCAGGCCCUACGGGGUGCAGCAGGCGCGAAACUUACAAUGCGAGAAAUCGCGAUAAGGGAAAUCCGAGUGCAGCACAUGUGUUACUGUCCAGAAGUCUUAAACACUUCUGAUAGCAAGACCGGGCAAGACCGGUGCCAGCCGCCGCGGUAAUACCGGCGGUACGAGUGGUAAUCACUAUUAUUGGGUUUAAAGAGUCCGUAGCCGGUUUAUUAAAUCCCAUGGGAAAUCUGGUGGCUUAACCAUCAGGCGACUAUGGGAGACUGGUAAACUUGGGACCGGGGGAGGAUGGAGGUACUUCAGGGGUAGGAGUGAAAUCUUGUAAUCCUUGGAGGACCAUCGGUGGCGAAGGCGUCUAUCUAUAACGGAUCCGACGGUGAGGGACGAAAGCUAGGGUCACGAACCGGAUUAGAUACCCGGGUAGUCCUAGCCGUAAACGAUGCAGACUAAGUGUCAGAUACAGUGCGACUGUAUCUGGUGCCGUAGGGAAACCGUAAAGUCUGCCACCUGGGAAGUACGACCGCAUGGUUGAAACUCAAAUGAAUUGACGGAAGCCGAAUU